UACGGAGGGUGCGAGCGUUGUCCGGAAUCAUUGGGCGUAAAGGGCGCGUAGGUGGCCCGGUCAGUCUUUGGUGAAAGCGCGGGGCUCAACCCUGCGUCGGCCAGGGAUACUGCCGCGGCUCGAGCACUGUAGAGGCAGGCGGAAUUCCGGGUGUAGCGGUGGAAUGCGUAGAGAUCCGGAAGAACACCGGUGGCGAAGGCGGCCUGCUGGGCAGUUUGGCUGACACUGAGGCGCGACACGUGGGGAGCAAACAGG
rnacentral:rRNA from 1 species